rnacentral:rRNA from 1 species
GAUUACGGCUCUCACCAGCUCAAACAACGGCUCGGAUCCCGUGAGAUCUCCGAAAGCUGUGGCUGGGCCUGGCCUAGUACCGUGCGAAGGAAUUCGCGUGGGAAGAGCUGGGUGCUGUAGUCC